GGAACAUUAAGUCAAAGGAUGAAAGCUUCUAACUUUUUCCUAAGCGGUUAAAUUCCGUUUGUGUCCCU
rnacentral:tRNA from 1 species